CAGUCGCCGCGGGAAAACGUAGGGCGCAAGCGUUGUCCGGAAUUAUUGGGCGUAAAGAGCUCGUAGGCGGUUUGUCGCGUCUGCUGUGAAAUCCCGAGGCUCAACCUCGGGCUUGCAGUGGGUACGGGCAGACUAGAGUGCGGUAGGGGAGAUUGGAAUUCCUGGUGUAGCGGUGGAAUGCGCAGAUAUCAGGAGGAACACCGAUGGCGAAGGCAGAUCUCUGGGCCGUAACUGACGCUGAGGAGCGAAAGCGUGGGGAGCGAACAGGAUUAGAUACCCCUGUAGUCCCUGUCUCUUAUAA
rnacentral:rRNA from 1 species